rnacentral:pre_miRNA from 1 species
CAACUACUCCCUCUGUCCCAAAUUUCUUGUCUUAGAUUUGUCUAGAUACGGAUGUAUCUAAUACUAAAAUGUGACUUGAUACAUCCGUAUCUAGACAAAUCUAAGACAAGAAUUUUGGGAUG